CGGGAAGAGCUCAAAUUUGAAAUCUGGCGUCCUCAGGGCGUCCGAGUUGUAAUCUAUAGAGGCGUUUUCCGUGCCGGACCGUGUCCAAGUUCCUUGGAACAGGAUAUCAAAGAGGGUGACAAUCCCGUACUUGACACGACGACCGGUGCUCUGUGAUACGUCUUCUACGAGUCGAGUUGUUUGGGAAUGCAGCUCAAAAUGGGUGGUGAGUUCCAUCUAAAGCUAAAUAUUGGCGAGAGACCGAUAGCGAACAAGUACCGUGAGGGAAAGAUGAAAAGCACUUUGGAAAGAGAGUUAAACAGUACGUGAAAUUGUUGAAAGGGAAACGAUUGAAGUCAGUCGUGACCGAGAGGCUCAGCCGGUUCUGCCGGUGUAUUCCCCUCGGUCGGGUCAACAUCAGUUUUGUCCGGUGGAUAAGGACGGUAGGAAGGUGGCACCCUCGGGUGUGUUAUAGCCUGCCGUCGCAUACAUCGGGUGAGACUGAGGAACGCAGCUCGCCUUUAUGGCCGGGGUUCGCCCACGUCCGAGCUUAGGAUGUUGACAUAAUGGCUUUAAACGACCCGUCUUGAAA
rnacentral:rRNA from 1 species